rnacentral:lncRNA from 1 species
GGAGCAGUGGGAGCCAGCGACCUCUAACAAAGCCAGGCUACAUUUCCCACAAGCGACGCUGAAAACCCUAAUUUUGCCGUUCCUUCGCAUCUAGCAUCGAAAUCCCCCCCCCCCAUUAUACCUGACAGUUCUAAGAUCUUUUCUUUUUUCCCAUUUUCUUGUUUUCUUAUUUCGGAUUGCUUUCGUUUAUCCAGUUUUUGGUUGUCAAUGUCAAUCGUUUCAAUGCUCAGUCAUCAUCCGAUGAUCUAAUUAAGUUAUUUAAUGCUUGAGAUUUAUCUGGGGUUUUGGAUCUUUUUCUGGUAAGAUAUUUUAUCGUUUAGUUUGAGCUAUGAAUCGAUUUGCUAUGGUACCCUAU